GAUUCUAAUCACCACCCAGGCCAGCAUAGCAACACAUGCUGGACACACAUCCUAAUCCUGGGUGUCAGCAAUCACUCACAGUUCCUAUCAUCCACGUUAACCAAAAAGGACAAGCAACCCACUCUGCAGAAUUACGUUUCCAAAGUGACCCAGAAAAGGGCCUGGGAACUUCCAGAUACCUGAAUACAUGGAGGUUCCUAGAAGGUGGUGAACCUGAAGAGGAGAUGGAAGCUUCGCAACCCUUCUCCCAUACCUAUGCAUCUCUUCUUCAUCUGCAUCCUUUGUAAUAUCCUUUAUAAUAAGCUGGUAAACGUGUUUCAGAGAUCUGUGAGACAGGGUCAAGGUCACGACACUCUCUCCACCAAUUUCUACAUGCUGGGGUUAAAAACAUCUGACACGGCUCCAAUCACUUUCCCACACUUCUGCAACAAUUCUCACCUGCUGC